GGUUCCAUGGUGUAGUGGUUAUCACAUCUGAUUCAGACGCUGAAUGGUCGUGAGUUCGAAACUCGGUGGAACCU
rnacentral:tRNA from 1 species